GUUGCCCAGUCAUGUCUGUCUUCAGCCACUGUUUCCUCCAGCUUUUUUAAGGUCAUGGGCUCUUUUCUCUGAGAGAUCAAGUCAAUCGCGGCGGGGUCAGAGAGGCACCGCCACAGGCCCCUUCAGGCUGAAAGCAGAUGAGAAGCUCUGCUACAGGUGAGGGGACAAACACUCAGGCAUAGUCUCCUUUUUUCAAUGUGAAUCAGCACUUUUUAAAUCUUUGGGAUUAAAGCUAAACACUAAAAUCAUCUAAGACCCUCAGGGUACACUAUACUAUGACCUUUGUUUCAUCCUAAAAUCUGAUAUUUUUUACAUUACAUUCUAUUUUAUCUUUUUCAUACUAUGAUGUGAAAUUUUUAUUAUACUAUACCUUGCCUUUUAUCACACUAUACUAUGAUAUGUUUGUCAUACUAUACAAUACAUUUUUUAUCUUACUAUUCUAUGACAUUUUUAUCAUACUAAAGUAUGACAUUUCUUAUCAAACUAUACUGACUUUUUUAAAACAAAAAAAAUGAAAUUUCUAUCAUAUUAUACUCCAAAAUUUUAUCAUACUAUAAUAUGACAUUUCUUCAAUUCUUUACGAAGAAAUUUUUAUGUUACUUUUAUACGAUGAUAUUUUUAUCAUUCUAUACUAGGACUUUUUUUGUUACAAAAAAUUGAAAUUUUUGACAUACAAUACUAUGACAUUUUUUAACAUACUAUACUAUGUCAUUUUUUUUAUCAUACUAUACUAAGACAUCUUUUUAUCAAACUCUACUUUCACUUUUUUAUAUUUAAAUUGAAAACUUUAACAUAAAAUUCUAUGACUUUUUUUAAACAUACUAUACUAUGACUUUUUUAUCAUACUUUACUAUAAUAUUUUUUAUACUAAAAAAUUAAAUUUCUAUCAGACUAUACUACGCCAUUUUUAUCAUACUAUAUUGAGACAUUUCUUCAAUUUUUACUGCAAAAUUUUUACGUUGUUUUAUCUUGUUUUUUACAUGCACACCAGACUGGGAUUUGAACCCAUGACAUUUAGUUGUGAGGCAACAGUGUGAACCAUGACACUAUUCUCACGACCAUUCUGCAGUAGAUCUUUUUCUCACACUAUGUUUUUGAAACAUACUAUACUAUUUUUUUAAUCAUACUAGAGUAAUACAUUUUUGUUACAAAAAAUUGAAAUUUUUAACAUACAAUACUAUGACAGUUUUAACUUACUAUACUAUGACAUUUUUUUAUCAUACUAAACUAUGCUUUUUAUCAAACUACACUGUUUUCUUUCAUAGUAACAAAUUGAAGUUUUUAACAUACUAUAACAAGACAUUUUUUAUCGUACUAUACUAUGACAAUUUUGUUAUCAUACUAUACCAUGUUUUUUUUUUUAUCAAACUUCACUGUUUUUUUCAUACUUAAGAUGUGAAGUUUUAAACAUACUAUACCAUGACAUUUUUUUUAUCAUACUAUACUAUGACAUUUUUAUCAUACUAUAAUAUGACAUUCUUUAAUUCUUUACAAAGAAAUUUUUAUGUUAGUUCAUAAUGAUGACAAUAAUUACUUUUUUUUUUUUGAAGUAUGUUUUCUACAAUGCACACCAGGCUGGGAUUUGAACCCAUGAUAUUUAGUCAUGAGGCAACAGUGUUAACCAUUACACUAUUCUUGUGACUGGUUCACAGUAGAUCUUUUUCUUACACAAUGUUUUUAAACAUACUAUACUAUGAUUUUUUUUUCAUACUAGACUAUUACAUUUUUGUUACUAAAAAUUGAAAAUUUUGACUUACAAUACUAUGACAUUUUUUAACUUACUAUACUAUGACAUUUUUUUUUAUCAUACUAUACGACGUUUUUAUCAAACUAUAAUAUGCUUUUUUUCAUACUAAAAUAAUUGAAGUUUUUAUCAUACUAUACCAUGAAAAUCUUAAUCAUACUUUACUAUGACAUAUUUUAUCAUAGUUAAAUUGAUUAUUUAUUGUAGAACAUUUUUAAUUAUACUAUACAAGGACAUUUUUUCAUCAUACUCUACUUUUACUUUUUUCAUAUUUAAUUUGAAAUUUUUGACAAAAUACUAUGACAUUUUUGAACAUACUAUACUAUGACAUUUUUUAUCAUACUUUACUAUGACAUUUUUUUAUCAUAGUAAAAUGGAUAAUUUAUAGUAGAACAUUUUUUAAUGUACUAUACUAUGACAGUUUUUUCAUACUAAAAAUUUAAAUUUCGAUGAUACUAUACUACAACAUUUUUAUCAUACUAUAAUAUGACAUUAUUUAUUUCUUUACUAUGAAGUAUAUUACUAUUAUUAUUAACUCUUAAAGUUUAUUAACUUAAACCCCCUUAGACGGGCUCUGCUAAAUUUCACAUAUUUAUCCAUGUCCUUAUACGUCCACUGAGGUGGUGGCAUGACACGGCUGGGGCCUGUUGGGACCCCGUGGGGAGCUAGUUAUCCAUUUGUUCUUACAGGGGCUUUUCCUGCUUAAAGUCUCCCUCCAGUGGAGGAGCAGAGUACAACAAACACCAUGAUUUAACACCACUCAAAGAUGCACAAGUGCAGAGUGUUGUGUCCACAGUAAAGCUGCCUUGUGCAGAAACUCAGCCCCUCAGCAGCUCCCUGACUGUGCAGGUGGAGAUUAAAGACACUCAGAGAGUGGUGAUGCCAAACUUGGCAGGCAGAGUGACUGCCUGGCCUCGGAGGAUCCUUCAUUUCUCCACUCGCUGGUCUUUAUUCUUCAGGAUGCCAGAGACAAAUCCAUUCCAAGACACAUUUAUAAAAGCUCUCUUGCUGAGUUUUGCACUUUCCUGCAGUCUGAUUUUUAAAGGCUUAAAGGGAUGAAUUAUGGUUUUUCGUACUUUUCUUUAAAACUUUUCAAAUCUCACGCACUUUCAUUCUUCAACAGAGAACAGGGAAUUUUUUUAGCUUCAUUCUCUGGAUCUUUGUGAUACAUUUUUACCAAAGUCUGGACUGAAUCAGGGAAGAAGAUGACAGGGUUUAUGCAGCUAGUGUGUAAGACAAACUAUGGAUGAAUAUAAAACUCUGAACUGUAAUAACCCAGAACAGUGAUCAACUCUCUGAAGUCUAGGCUUUCUGUGUAUUUAAAUGUUGUAGGUUUCACAAAGGAAUGUGUGAGUUUGGUGCAAACAUGGUCUAAAAAAGCUGAAUUGAAAAAAAUGAAUUAAAUUAUGUACUUCCGGGCACAGAAAACAGAGUUUAAAAGGUACCACUUUGUCCAAAGGUGGCGCCAAAUUUGAGACAAAGUUUCUGUUGGAACUUGGAAAGACAUUAGUUAAACUGAAAUGACUUCAAAAUAAGAUAAACUGUGAAUUUCAAAAUGAAGCCUUGAUUCAGACCUUCAGGCUCCUGAAACGAACUAUCAGACCACGUGGUGAGUUUGGCGCCCUCCUGUGGACUAAGUGGUAUCUUUUAUCGCUGCUGAUUUUGUCUGGUACAUGAGACAGCAAUGUUUUCAUUACAAAAAACCCUCCUGAUUUCCAGUUGACUUAUUAAUUGCAUUUGAAAAUGUUGAACUGCUUCUCUGCUGUAUGUGGUUUAUCACUUCAUUGGCUGCAGGGAUUUCAGACACUAAAAACAACUAUAGAGAGAGUCAGUCUUGAUGUUUGAUGGUCUGGUUUGCCUUUGUACAUCUUGAGGUGUCAUCAAUAUUGAUAACAGUCUCUUCUGUAGCCAGUUUAAAACUCCUUAUAGUAGCUUUAAACAGAUUUAUAGAUGAGCACAGAGACAGUUUACCCUUGUAGAGAUAAAUUAACCAACUGUGACAUUAAUCAGCACAGUCAAGCACACAAAUGAUACAGAUUAAAGUAAAAUAUCUGUUGAAGUUUGCUUCCAAGGCAUUUGAGUCACAGCAUAAUCCCAAAUGUGAACUUUUGUUGCUCCACAAAGAUGCUCAGGAAUUCAUCUACCUGUGAGACCUGAGGAGGAGAAUAUUUCUCUUGCUAAUUAGAUGCUCCUCCAUGUGGAGUCCCCUCUGACCAAUUACUGCUCGGCCCAGACAGUCGGUGUCCAGGAGCUCAGGAGGCAGGAGCCCUGCAGACAGCACGCCGACUGAAGGAGAAAUACAAGCAGUGUGUCCUUCUGCUUCACUGCUUCUGGUGGCAUUAGCUUAAUUCUCUCCUCCACCGGGGAACAUUUACACCUCUGCUCCUGAUUACCUCCUUGGGGAUAUCAGAUGUGAGCGGUCUGUUGGAGCCAAGAUUGCACUCUGCAGAGGGUUUGGACAUGCUCUGCCUGCUGCCUCCCUGUGUGAUUUUCCCAAAGAAAUUAAAAUUUGACACAGUGAAACUAAAUCCCAAUCACCCAUUAAAACACUGCUUCACUUCACUGCUGCUAAGAUACUGUUGACAAGAUUUAAUAGAGUAAGGUACCAUCGUUUUCAAGGCUUGAACCUGUCCUUAAAAUGAUCUAUAUAUGACCAAAUCAAACAUCAACGUCACCAUGAAAACAAAUCAUCUAGAAAGGGAUGCUGCAGGUAGGCUGCACUACCAUUUCUGUCCAGAUGAGGGCAGCAUAGCUUCAGAUAUAACACCUCUUAACACUCCUUCAUGAACAGAAAUCUCUAUACAACACAUCUGUGCAUUAUGCUGUGCAGUUUCCUGUGAGGCAAAAUGAAUCUAAAAAUGGAAAUGAUGGGUUUGUUUAUUUUAAUCCUGCAGAUGUGAAGCAGUACCGGCGCUGCAAAAUACGUCAGAUAUGAAAAACAUAAGAAGUGCAUCAUUGUGGAGUCUGCAAACUGGAUGAGUGGACAUGAUUUGUAGAUGUGCAUGUGUGUGCAGGUUUGAACACAGAUGGAUGAUUUGUGAUGGUGCAAAUGCAAUUCUUUGACCCCCCAAUUUUUUUUUGAGGAGGGUUGCUGAAUGUCUUGAA
rnacentral:lncRNA from 1 species